CAAAAGUCCUCAACUGAUGGGUCACAAACCCAAAGUGGAUUACAUGUCAUAUAUCCUGAUUAUCAGAUAUUUACAUUACAAUUCACAACAGUAUCAAAAUUGCAGUUAUGCAGUAGGACUGAAAUAAUUUUAUUGCUGGGAGGCAAUCAAAACAUAAAGUGUAUUAGAGAGUCUCAGAUUAAGGAUUUUUGAGAACCACUGUAUAACUAGGCUAUGUUUUCCCUUUAAGAAAGUAUUUACUUUUUGGAUAAAUGUGUACCAGGUACAGGAGCACUUGGAGGCCAAGAGGGUAUCAGAUGCCCUGGAGCUGUAUGUAUAUGUAAUUAUGAGCCUCCAUGUGGGUGCUAGGAAUUGAACCUUCUCCCUAUGACUAGCUCAGAUUUCUUUUUUCAUAUAUCCCAGACCCAAUUUCCCUAAGGAUGGCACCACCCUGAGUGGGCAGACCGCUCCUACAGGCCAAUCUGAUGGAGUUGUUUUCAAUUAAAAUUUGCUGGUCCCAGAUGACUAAUUUGCCCAGAUUAAAAAAAACACACAAAAACACAUAUAGAUUUUUAAGUAUGAUUAGCUAACACUAAGAAUUCUUAAAAUGUUUACAGACUUCCAACCAGACAGAAGAACAGUGGUGCAUGCUUUUAAUUCCUUCACUCAGGAGGCAGGGGGAGGCAGAUCUAUGAGUUCAAGGCCAGCCUGUCUACAGAGUGAGUUCCAGGACAACAAAGGCUACACUGAGAAACCCUGUCUGGGAUGGAGAAGAAUCAACAGUCUUCUGACCAGGGGAAGAGACCAGGAUCCAGGCUUGACAUCUUCUCCCGAUAGACUUUGUCAAAGGCUUCACUUUGAGCCACAGUGAACUGAUUCUUCCAGUCCCCACAAAUGCCUGUCAAACACAGAAGGAAAAGCACCAGGAAAAUGAGAAAAACAUCUCUCAUAUACAGCCAAGUCUGUCACACUCUCACCUCAACAAUCCAGCUGGUAUUUAAUAGAGAACAAAAUGAGUCAUCUUACAACUUUCUACUCAAACUGUCGUCUGUCAAAACGACAUCAGCACAAAGGGACAGGACUGGAGAUGAUUUCAGUUUGGUGGAUGUGAGCACCAGAAAGAUCACGGAGAAAGCCCUAGUCUUGAACCUUUGAAGGAACCUGAGGAAGUUCUCAAAACUGAAUUUCCAUCCACCACCCACAAGGGAAAAAUGGCAAC
rnacentral:lncRNA from 1 species